GGUCGAACAGGCUGUCGGGGUCGCAGUCGGCGGUGACGCCGCCGUUGAUGCCGUAGUCGAUACAGGCGUUCGCGGCGCGUUCUGCCUUC
rnacentral:tRNA from 1 species